rnacentral:lncRNA from 1 species
CUUAUGUCAUCAUAAUAACUCAAGAAAAUUUAGAUAUUGUUCGUAAUUUCUUUUUCUUUUUCUUUCUUUUAAGGAAUCGUCUGUUUUAUCAUUUAUAAAUACAAGCACAUAGGAGCUAAUUGAGUUAUUGAAUGCAUUCUGUUAUUAUGAUUAGAAAUAAAUAAUAACAGAUAAUUUGGUCCUGAAUAAAUUUGUCAUUUAAAUGGACAAUUAUAACCCAUUCCAAAGGUAGAAAAAUGAAACAAAAUCUAAACAAAUCUAAAUGAUGACUAUUGUACAAAAUUUUCUUGCUAAUCUAUGUCAGUCUCCUUUAGUGUAAGAUUUAUAGCCCAUUGAAGUGAGAAGUAAUAUGCAAGAAAACGUCUUCUGUGCAAGGAAUUGUGAGGCCGCCCAUUGGAUGGUCAUAUCCAAAUUCUUCCUCGGCUUGACUCAACAGGUUUUGAAAUGAAGCUUGGUUCAAGUAUGACGUGGGGAUAACAAAUCGCUUCAUUUGCUCUCCAACGUACACUGCAAGAUAGCCCUUUGGCACAUUCAAUACUUUUGAUGUUUGGCUACUGCUGAAUGAAGCCCGUCUAAUAGCUGCAGGUAAACGGAAACCCAUUUCAAAUGUUUUGAAGAACAAGAUGAAUUUCUCAGAUAUAAGAUAAGUGUAUAAAAGAUUGAUUGCUUGAGUGAUUUGUGAUUGUUGUGAAGGAGGACACUGUAUUUAUAGUUUCCAAGAGUUUUUUGAAAUCCCUUUGCUAGGGAAUUGAUUGUUAAAAGAAUAGGGCCCAUGAGACAAGAGAUCACAUGGGAUUGUCUUAGAUGCCUCUAUCAAGGAUCAAUAAGUUCAAUAAGAGUGCAAACUGUAACCACUCAAAAUCUAAAGAGAUAUACUUAUCUUGUUAUACUCAAUGCUUGUACAAUGCCAACUCAUUUCUUCUUAGACAUGCAUCAGACAUGGCACAUGUUCUCUUUACAUCGAUAACACAACUUUAUGUUGAUGAAUGACCUGACGAAUUAUGAGAAAAAUAUCAGUCAUACGCAAUCACAUUAUUUAUCAACUGUGCAUAUUUACUGUUCUUGAUUUAGUUUUUGAAGGUCCAGGUUGGAGACAAUAGACAAGAUAUGGUUCACAAGAGAUCACAUGAUACUCUCAAGAGGUCUUUUUCAAAGAUUGAAUGAUUGCUUAAGACUUGAGACAAUAAUUAAAUAUAUGUCCCACGUUAAGAAACUUGGUCGUUACAAUUUACAAAGGCUAAAAAUUUCUGAUAUCAAAACUUGGUCCUACCAAAUACCUUAUGAAUUAUGAUUAUUUUCUGUGCAAAACGCAUAAAAUUUAUACUAAGGUAAUCAAGAUUGAAAGUCCGUUCACUUAUCAGAAUUAAAUGCUACAAAGCUCAAGCUUUUUGGUAAGAAAAAACCUCUGAAAGGACUUAUCCCAAUACAUAAACUGAUACUACCUCAUCAAUUAUGAAGAAGAUUUAACAAAUACCAAGUUAGUUGGAGCACUGCCUUUUCAAUGCAGUAAAGUUUGCAAGAAUACAAAGUAUGACACAUUUUAAAUCCUGCUAGUUCUGUGGAAGAGUGAAAACACAAAACACGAUGAAAUUCAAUCAUUUUGCAGGAGUCUAUCCAUAUGAAGACGAGACUUGCAACAACUUCCAAGUAUAUUUCAUGGUUGAUUGAAUUUUAUGCAUCCUCUAGACUUAAGUGGGGUUAAAACGAAGACAAAGGCUAAGACAAAGUACCAUUUUAGAUGAUUCAUUUUUUAACUACAUUUCAAUGGUUCAUGAAACAUUACACUUUUUAACCAUUUGACUAAUUCAGACCUCGCAAUGACAUCAUAGAUCUUCCAUAUCUUAUAUAUAUUCCCACCUUUUACCUUCAACCCUAAUCCACCCUAGGCAACUGUCACCCAUUGACCGACCCUAUUCCAGCCAUCAGCUUGCCUUCGUUAUAGAUCGUGGCUCUUGUGUCGUAAAUAUCACUAGAGCCACUGUCAGGUUGUCUCAUACAUGCAUUAGAUAUGUCUUUGCUCAGCCGUGAAAGCGUGGCUUUCUAUUUCAUGCAGUCAUGAAGGUUGCCUUGCUCUCCCACUCAUAGGGAAGGUAAUGGGCAGGUAAUAAAGCACUCCUCGUCCCAACAUCUGCAGCGGAAAAACAUUUGUAUUCAAAUCCAACGUAGAUUUUAUAGUUGUCGUUGAAGCGGAAUACAACCGAACAAUGUUGAGUUUGGCAGAAUGUUUUAUUAGGCUGAUAAAUUUAAAAUUGGCUGGAUAAUAAUAAAUUUACAAUAAUUUUUUUUCAAAGACUAAAAUAUGUUUCAAAUUUUGCUCGCUCAGGUUGUAUAUUCACAGCACAAUCGCCUUCAACACAAGGAUAGUAAGACAGAUUAAAGAAAUUUGAAUUUUGAUAAUAAGAUCCUAUUUCUCGCAAAGGAUAAAUUCAUCAAUCCACCGCGACAGUGUUUUGUAGUCAACCCUCUUAUGUUAACUUUCUCUAUCUAUCCUAAAACUUUCAUGAUUUUCGGAAAUGUUGGUUUUUCAUUGGCUAGUUUGUCUUUAGCAAUCAAAUUACGAAGAUGCAUUUGCUAUAUAUAGCAUCGCAGUUUUAAUAAACACAUAUAUACUUUAUUUUUAUCCCAAGUAAUCAUUAGUUUUGUAACUUAAUGUAAAUAGAAGCAUAUAAGAGCCCUUUGAGUUGUUGAAUGUAGUGUGUCAUUAUGAUUAGAAUUAGAAAUAAAUAAUAACAAACAAUCUCUUCCUGAAUUUGUCAUUCAGAUGGACAAUGCUAACCCAUUCCAAAGGUAUGAAAAGGAAAAAAAAUCUUUACAAAUCUAAAUCAUGACUAUAAUAUACAAAGUGUCCUAGCUAAUCUAUGUCAGUCUUCUUUAGUGUAAGAUUUAUAGCCCAUUGAAGCGAGAAGUAAUUUCCAUGAAAAUGUCUUCUGUGCAAGGAAUCGUGAGGCCACCCAUUGGGUGAUCAUAUCCAAAUUCUUCCUCUGCUUGACUCAAUAAGUUUUGAAAGGAAGCUUGGUUCAAGUAUGACAUGGGGAUAACAAACCGCUUCAUUUGCUCUCCAACAUAUACUGCAAGAUAGCCCUUUGGUACAUUCACAGCUUUUGAUGAUGCUUGGCUACUUGUAAAUGAAGUUCGUCUAAUAGCAGGUAAAUGGAAACCCAUUUCAAAUGUUUUGAUGAAAAAACUGAAUUUCUCUGAUUUAAGAAAAAUGUUUCUAAAUUUGUUUGCUUGAAUGAUUUGUGAAGUUGUGAAGAAGGACAGUGUAUUUAUAGAUUUCAAGUAUCUUUGAAAUUCAUUUGUUAGAAAAUGAUUGUUAAAAUGAUGGGGCCCAUGAGACAAGAGAUCACAUGGUAUUGUCUCAAGAGGUCAUACGCAAUCACAUUAUUUAUCAACUGUGAAUGACCGCAGCUUCAAAGUAGAUUUCAUGGUUUAAUUAUGCAUUGGAUUUCAAGCAAUAAUAGCAACCAAGUGUUCAAUUCUAUAGAAACCAGGACAAAAUACUUGAUAAGUAUGUUUAGAUCUUGUCUGAAACAUGUAAAGAAGGUCUCUUUCACAAACCUAAUCCUCAGUGAAAACCUCCAAGACAGUGGCAUGUGAUCAUUAAUGAGACAUGUCCCUAACUAAACCCCAUUGAAUAACUCAUUCACCAUACAAUUGGUUUCUUAAGUCUAUAUAUACCCCUCUUUGGAUUUACAAGCAACACAAAUAAUUCUUACCUUGAAGCAAUCAGAACUCAAGUUCACUUAUACUACUUCUUUGAGAUUUCAUUCUGUUGUGAAGAAACAAAAACAAGAAUGGGUUUUCGCUUACCUGGUAUUAGACGAUCAUCAUUUAGUGCAAGUCAAUCAUCUAUCAAACAAGUGGAAGUUCCAAAAGGCUAUCUUGCAGUGUAUGUUGGAGAGAAAAUGAGAAGGUUUAUGAUUCCAGUAUCAUUCUUGAAUGAGCCUUUAUUUCAAGAAUUGCUUAGCCAAUCUGAAGAGGAAUUCGGUUAUUGUCAUCCAAUGGGCGGUCUUACAAUUCCCUGCAAAGAAGACAUGUUCUUACAUACAACUUCUGUCUUGAACAGGCUAUAACUAAUUUGUAUGAAUGAUAACAUAGAUAUGGAUGAUAACAUAGGAGAGUAGGAUUGACCAGUUGAGACAAUUUUUGUACAUCAGAAAUUUCUUUGUCAAUUUUGAUGUUUCCUCUUAGGUGGAAAUCAUAAAUGAGAACCUUAUGAAACUAUAUUCUUGUGAAUUUGUGUUGUUUCUUGUGUCAUCUAAAAUAAUUAAAUUUCAUGCACAAACACAAGCCAGGACUGGUAAUUCUUUUACAUAUAUUACGGGGUCAUAUAAACCUUUGUUCAAAGAAAACCUUUCUUUAGACUAUAAGGAUAAGCGAAUUGUAAAUGAAGAAAUGAAUAUACUGACAGUUGAUCACAUAAACCAACGCUAGUAACCAAUUAAUCCGUGAGUUGCAUGUUUCUUGUGAUGUUUGAAGAAUGUGAUGGAGAUCGUAAUCACGAGGACUUCCCAUGAUCUUCACAUGGACUUGUCGUAAAAAAAAUAUAAUAACACAAUUAAGCUAAAAACAGUUAAAAGUAAAAAUGUUUUCUCUAGAGUGAUUCUACAGUUUUUUUUAAACCAUCCCUAUAGCAAAAUUAAAAGAGAAAUUGGCCAAAAUAAUAAGUACAAAUGAUGAUUCUUAGAAUUUACAUUGGAUCUAAUUCAACCUUAAGUGAGAGGUGUCAACCUUUACAGCAUCCUUUACAAUCAUCACAAGCUUGCAUUCAGAGGUUAGGUUUGUGUAAGACUUAAGUUGAUGAUUGAAUCUCACUGGACUUGGAAUAGUUGGAGGAGCUUUCUUUUUUCAUUUUAGCUUAAUAUCUCUCCCUAGAUGAAGAAGCAGUUGAUAGAAGCAAUGGACAUGUAAAAAAAUUGUGAGCUUAGAUCUAAGAUAACCUAUCAACUAUUAUAAUUUGGCUGAAUGUUUUAUUAUUAGGCCAGAGAAAUUUGCAGGAAUAUUGGAAGCUCGACAUUUCUUACAGGAGAUACCCUUAUGUCAUCAUUAUAACUCAAGAAAAUUUAGAUAUUGUUCGAUAUUUCUUUUUCUUUUUCUUUAUUUCAAGGAAUCACCAGUUUUAUAAUUUAUAAAUAGAAGCACAUAGGAGCUGAUUGAGUUAUUGAAUGGAUUCUGUCAUUAUUAUUAGAAAUAAAUAAUAACAAAUAAUUUGGUUCUGAAUGAAUUUGUCAUUUAGAUGGAUAAUUCUAACCCAUUCCAAAGGUAGAAAAAUGAAACAAAAUCUAUAAAAAUUUCUCUGCUAAUCUAUGUCAGUCUCCUUUAGUGUAAGAUUUAUAGCCCAUUGAAGCGAGAAGUAAUAUGCAAGAAAACAUCUUCUGUGCAGGGAAUUGUGAUGCCGCCCAUUAAUUGGAUGGUCAUAUCCAAAUUCUUCCUCGGCUUGACUCAACAAGUUUUGAAAUGAAGCUUGGUUCAAGUAUGACGUGGGGAUAACAAACCGCUUCAUUUGCUCUCCAAUGUACACUGCAAGAUAGCCCUUUGGCACAUUCAAUGCUUUUGAUGUUUGACUACUGCUGAAUGAAGCCCGUCUAAUAGCUGCAGGUAAACGGAAACCCAUUUCAAUUUUUUUUGAAGAACAAGACGAAUUUCUCAGAUGUAAGAUAAGUGUAUAU